GCCGGGGUGGCGGAAUUGGCAGACGCGCUAGAUUCAGGUUCUAGUAGGUUAACGCCUGUGUGGGUUCAAGUCCCGUCCCCGGCA
rnacentral:tRNA from 1 species